GACAACUCUAGAGAUAGAGCGUUCCCCUUCGGGGGACAAAGUGACAGGUGGUGCAUGGUUGUCGUCAGCUCGUGUCGUGAGAUGUUGGGUUAAGUCCCGCAACGAGCGCAACCCUUAAGCUUAGUUGCCAGCAUUAAGUUGGGCACUCUAAGUUGACUGCCGGUGACAAACCGGAGGAAGGUGGGGAUGACGUCAAAUCAUCAUGCCCCUUAUGAUUUGGGCUACACACGUGCUACAAUGGACAAUACAAAGGGCAGCUAAACCGCGAGGUCAUGCAAAUCCCAUAAAGUUGUUCUCAGUUCGGAUUGUAGUCUGCAACUCGACUACAUGAAGCUGGAAUCGCUAGUAAUCGUAGAUCAGCAUGCUACGGUGAAUACGUUCCCGGGUCUUGUACACACCGCCCGUCACACCACGAGAGUUUGUAACACCCGAAGCCGGUGGAGUAACCAUUUAUGGAGCUAGCCGUCGAAGGUGGGACAAAUGAUUGGGGUGAAGUCGUAACAAGGUAGCCGUAUCGGAAGGUGC
rnacentral:rRNA from 1 species